rnacentral:misc_RNA from 1 species
AUAAAUGAACCGCCAGUUCUCUCUGUCUCUUCACGGAGCAGAGAUUGAGCAGGCAAUUACCCUUUGUGAACUGUAAUUGUACUUGGGUACUUUUCUCUCUCGGGAGAAGAUGCCCGUCUAUAUUAAACCCCAUAUUUGAUUAACUGAAUAAGAACUAAGAGAAA